UGAUAGCGAUGAAGCGCGAGGUUGCUGCCUCAGAUAUGGCAGGUUUUCCGUGGAGCGAAUGUCAAGUUAGGAAACUGACGACAA
rnacentral:ncRNA from 1 species